CGCGCAGGCGGUCGAUCAAGUCGAGUGUGAAAGCCCCCGGCUCAACUGGGAGGGUCAUUCGAAACUGGUCGACUCGAAGGCAGGAGAGGGUAGUGGAAUUCCCGGUGUAGUGGUGAAAUGCGUAGAUAUCGGGAGGAACACCAGUGGCGAAGGCGACUACCUGGCCUGUUCUUGACGCUGAGGCGCGAAGCUAGGGGAGCAAACG
rnacentral:rRNA from 1 species